rnacentral:rRNA from 2 species
ACAGAAUUUCUUGACGACCAUAGAGCAUUGGAACCACCUGAUCCCAUCCCGAACUCAGCAGUGAAACGAUGCAUCGCCGAUGGUAGUGUGGGGUUUCCCCAUGUGAGAGUAGGUCAUCGUCAAGA